rnacentral:RNase_P_RNA from 1 species
GUACUGUUUCGGCGCGUCGCUGGCAUCUCAGGAUGCGAGAGGAAAGUCCGGGCAGCACAGGGUGUCCCACUUCCGAAAAUAGAAGCUAUUGGUGACAGUAGGUGAGGACAGAAGAGAAUGACCGCCAGUCUUUUCUGAGACAGGCAAGGGUGAGAAGGUGGUGUAAGAGACCACCAGCCGGCGGGUGAUCGUCGGGCUGUGUCCGCUGGGAGCUGCAAGUUCAUGUAAACCAUCGUAUGAGGGUUGCCCGCCCGAGUCUUCGGCACGGUGGAGGGUAGAACGCUAGAGCCGUAAGGUGACUUGCGGAGUAGAUAAAUGACGUGCACCACCUUUUGGGGUGGUACUGAACCCGGCUUAUAGAGACAGUACUUUC